AGUCCAAUUAAUGACCCCUUUCCCAUUUAUCUCGGCUGAUUCUCUCUCUCCCCUUUUUUUCUUUUCUUCUUCCAUUCUAAAAUUUCCGAAAUUGAAGUCGCAGAGGCUGCGACGCCUCACCUCCCUCCUUUCCCUUCUUUCUCCGGCGAGUUCGCUAUACAUCGCUAUGCUUGAAGCCUAUACAUCGCUAUGCUUGAACCACUAUAUGUGAGCAUGUUCUACUUGUCAUUCUUUCUCGGCCGUGGCUACGGUAAUUGAGUGAUGGUCCUAUUUCUAUAUCCUCUAAGUUCUUGCUAUCAUGAUGCAAAAGGGUAUGGGGUGUUGAGGGAAUUACCUUGCUUGGUGAUUCCUUUCGGUUGUGGGCUGCUUCUAUCUUGCCGCCGCCGCCUCGCUCGUUCCCUUUGCGUGGUGAAGCUUGGGUGAUGAAAAUGGUGAAGGGGAAUGGGGGUGGCGAGGGGCUGCUUAUAUAGCUCACACCAAUUGGCAUCUUGUGCCAGACUCUUGGGGAAUUGUGAUGCUAAUCUGGGGUUGUUUUCUCAGCUCCUUUCCAAGCUUAUGUUACUGUUACUCAUACCAAAUUGAUGAAGGUUUGGGUCUGCAUUCUUGGCAGUUUUCCCCAGCCUUGGUGACUGAAUAAGGGAUUUGAUUCCUGCUCAUUUUGAGCAUGAUCAUUGGGUUAGGGGCUGUCCCUUUCAGAGUUUCAUGGGGCCGAAUUUCGAGAAGGAAAGAGAUGGAGGAAGGGAAGAGAAUCUACCCUUGUACCACUUUGAUUCCUAUACCAAUUUAGGAUACUCUCUGGAAUUCUAUUACUAGAGGUAGAAGAAGGGAUGAUGUAAUGUGGAUAUGUGUAGUCUCUUUCACUUAUGUAUCAUGCACUAUUAAUGUCUUCACAAUUUUAUGAAAUUGUAUCUCAAAUUGUUCC